GCACUGUUUUGCUGGUGUCCAGUUUAGACUGAAAGUUUCUUAUGGCAGAGGAAGGAUCCAGUCUAUUGCUGGCUUUCUGAUCUAUUGCUGGCUUUCUGCUUGCCCACUGCCUUGCCCACCGUUUUUUUGGUGCUCCUCACACCAGUCCUCUCUGGCUGCUCCAGGCAGUGAGUUGUGAAGGUGUGCCAUCCUCC
rnacentral:lncRNA from 12 species